CCCUUGGAGUGUUAUAAAAACUUGAGUAGCUUAUAUAAAGUGAAAAAGAACACGUUGAAUAGGGAA
rnacentral:ncRNA from 1 species